CAAGCAUUGGUGAAGUCAUGUUCCCUAAUAAUGACCCGGCCAAAAUUGAGGCAAUGACAUUUCACGAAUUGAGAGCUACAUCGAGAUAAAGCCCCUUUCAGUUACAUAUGGUCUGGGCAUAUCAGAUCAUGAUUCUGAGGGAAGGCUUGUCACUGCAGAGUUUGAUUCGUUCUAUCUCUUGAGCGGUUAUGUUCCUAAUUCUGGUGAUGGCCUGAGAAGACUGGUAUCAAUCUAUUUCAUCGGUUUACUCUGUUACACACUUUCAAGUAUGAUUCAUUAAUUAUGUUGCUUAUUUAUGUCAGACGUAUAGGAUUUUACAGUGGGAUCCGUCUCUUGGUAACUACAUAAAGAACUUGAAAAGUCGAAACCCGUGAUUUUGACUGGCGAUCUGAAUUGUGCCCAUCAGGAAAUAGACAUUUAUGAUCCUGCCCUGCGGGAAAUAAAAGAAGUGUUGGAUUUACAAUUGAAGAACGGGAAUCUUUUGAGACCAACUUCCUGUCGAGGGGCUUUGU